rnacentral:rRNA from 1 species
GACGAACGCUGGCGGCGCGCUUAACGCAUGCAAGUCGAACGGAAAGGCCUGUUUUCCCUUGUGGAUUGGGGGUACUCGAGUGGAGAACGGGUGAGUAACACGUGACUGAUCUGCCCACAACUUGGGUAUAAGCCUGGGAAACUGGGUCUAAUUCCCGAUAGGACUGCAGGGUGGUGCCUGUGGUGGGAAACGAUUUUCUGGUGGUUGGGGAUGAGCUCGCGGCCGAUCAGCGUGUGGGUGGCGUAAUGGCCUACCAAGGCGGCGACGGGUAGCCGGCGCGAGAUGGGGGACAGCGACAGUGGGACUGGGACCCGGCCCAUACGCCAAGGAGAAGCAGCAGAUGUGAGUAAUGGGCAAGGAGCGGAAGCCAGAUGCAGCGAGGCCGGGUUGAGGAUGACGGCCUUCGGAUUUGAAACUCCUUGGAACCACGAGCAAGCCUUCUAGUCGGAAGGGUGGUGACGGUAGUGGAAGAAGAAGCACCGGCUAACUACGUG